rnacentral:rRNA from 1 species
UGGGGAAUUUUGGACAAUGGGCGAAAGCCUGAUCCAGCAAUGCCGCGUGUGUGAAGAAGGCCUUCGGGUUGUAAAGCACUUUUGUCCGGAAAGAAAUCCUUGGCUCUAAUACAGUCGGGGGAUGACGGUACCGGAAGAAUAAGCACCGGCUAACUACGUGCCAGCAGCCGCGGUAAUACGUAGGGUGCAAGCGUUAAUCGGAAUUACUGGGCGUAAAAGCGUGCGCAGGCGGUUUGCUAAGACCGAUGUGAAAUCCCCGGGCUCAACCUGGGAACUGCAUUGGUGACUGGCAGGCUAGAGUAUGGCAGAGGGGGGUAGAAUUCCACGUGUAGCAGUGAAAAUGCGUAGAGAUGUGGAGGAAUACCGAUGGCGAAGGCAGCCCCCUGGGCCAAUACUGACGCUCAUGCACGAAAAGCGUGGGGAGCAAAACAGGAUUAGAUACCCUGGUAGUCCACGCCCUAAAACGAUGUCAACUAGUUGUUGGGGAUUCAUUUCCUUAGUAACGUAGCUAACGCGUGAAGUUGACCGCCUGGGGAGUACGGUCGCAAGAUUAAAAACUUAAAUG